UCAGCAGGUCAAAGAGAAGGGAGAGGACUAGGCCUAUUUUUAUCACAGGGUAACUGGACCUUGCUGCAGCUUCUCCUGGGCCCCACUGGGAGGAACCCCUUAAAUUCUGAUCUUCACGUGCUGCUGAAGCACUGGCCACAUGGAUGGAGGACAGAGGCCAGACAGCCCUUUCCUCUCAUGACUCUCACCAGAAGGCUUUGCUGCUCCUGAAAAUCGAGACAGGCAGUAGAAAAAACCUCAGAGGAAGACAUGGAAAAUCUGAGUAACAAAGGUGGACCUGUACACGUCGAGAGGCUAGUUAAGCUACUCCAGGUGUGGCUGCCGUGGCAUCCACUUUCCGUGGCCUGCAGGGAGCAUCAGGAACGCCUGGACCUCCUAUAAGGGCCAUGCGGAAUAGCCCACAGAGUCACCAGCAAAUGUCAGGUCCUGUUAGGACUUCCCCAACCCCCCUGUGAUCAGCAGUCCUCCCUGUCUCCCAGGACCAUGACCUUGUGCUGUCCUUAG
rnacentral:lncRNA from 1 species